UGUAGUUUGUGACAGCGGUGUAUGGAAGUUUAAUUUCUCCUGUCUGGUAUUGUAGUCAAAUUUUUCAAUUCUCGCAAGUGUGCUCUUUAGCCCUCGACCGCGAUUACGAGAAUGAAGGCCCUAUCGGAGGAGACGGACAUGUAAUUGAAGCGGACGAAAUGAAGCUCGGAAGAAGGACAUAUCAUCGCGGUCGAGUGGUAGAAGGAAGUUGGGUGUGGGGUUUGAUCGGGACAUGAAAGACUUUCGUUUGGAAAUUUGCCCUGGGAAUAAGAGAGACGAGAAAACCUUCCGGAAAUUCUUUAAUAAACAUGUGUUAAAGGAAACUACAGUGAAUACAGACGGCUGGGCGGCAGACGCGUUCCUUAAGGAUGACUGCUAUAUCAACGAGGUAAUGGAACAUAAACAUACUUUUGUGACACCCUCAGGAAUCCAUACGAACGCUAUUGAGUCCCAGUGGAGGCCGUUCAGGCGCUGCCUUGCACGAGGAGGAGUAAAACCAGAAAAUCUUGCGGAUCACUUGUGCGAAUACCUUUGGCGAUUCGAGCAGCGGGAAAUGAAGAAGGACCCAUUUAUGGCGCUUCUCAAUGAACUAGUGAAGGUGUACAACCCCAAUAACCCGGCAGUGUAGGAGAGAAAUCAAGAAGCCUCGGUACACGGAGGUACAAAGUUCAAGUCUAACUUCAGGUUUCCUGUUCCUGUUGAUCCUGUAUGGAGAGAGGCUCAAUUAUGCUUAACUUCUGGAUUCUGGCAAUCCUCGUGACCUGUAGUCAUCUCCAACAGAGUGAUUAACUUAUGGCUUCCAGUCUUAUUGCCCUCAAAAACGUCGCUGCCUUAGUUCUUUUCCACCAGACUCAGUGGGACAAUGGACACUUUGACACCUAUCUUGAAGUCUUCCGCACCCCUGAUAUACUGCAGCCUCAGAACCAAGGUCAGAAUGGACAAGUGCCCCGGUGAAACUCCUCCUACAGCUUUGCUUUGAAAGAGAAGCUGAAUUCGCCAGGCCAAGUUGUGGAAAGGCCAAAAUUUGGGAAAAAAUAGCAAAGACGAUGAAAGAUCUGUACGGAUACAAAUUUAGUGGCCCCGAUUGUUCCAAAAAAUUUAGUAAUCUCCGGACUACCUACCUGACGACCAGGAAAAGGUUAAGACUGACAGGUGCAAGCGGUGAUGGUAAGCCCGAUGAGUUAGAUGAAAAUGAUGAGAACGGUGAUGAAGCGGGAAUAAUGUUGGAUACAAAGGAAAGUAACCAGGGGACAAAGUGGGAGUUUUACCAGAUCUCCCGAGAAAAUUUUGGGUCAAAAGCCAGUGUUGAGCCGGGUGCUCACCUUCUAGGUGCAACUUUUAAUGCAGCACCAAAACCUGCAGCUGCUAGAACUGCCUGCAGACCCUUACUAGA